rnacentral:rRNA from 1 species
UACGUAGGGCGCAAGCGUUAUCCGGAAUUAUUGGGCGUAAAGAGCUCGUAGGCGGUUUGUCGCGUCUGCCGUGAAAGUCCGGGGCUCAACUCCGGAUCUGCGGUGGGUACGGGCAGACUAGAGUGAUGUAGGGGGAGACUGGAAUUCCUGGUGUAGCGGGUGAAAAUGCGCAGAUAUCAGGAGGAACACCAAUGGCGAAGGCAGCCCCCCUGGGUCAACACUGACGCUGCAUGCAC